GACGGAGGAUGCAAGUGUUAUCCGGAAUCACUGGGCGUAAAGCGUCUGUAGGUGGUUUAAUAAGUCAACUGUUAAAUCUUGAGGCUCAACUUCAAAAUCGCAGUCGAAACUAUUAGGCUAGAGUAUAGUAGGGGUAAAGGGAAUUUCCAGUGGAGCGGUGAAAUGCGUAGAGAUUGGAAAGAACACCGAUGGCGAAGGCACUUUACUGGGCCGACACUGACACUGAGAGACGAAAGCUAGGGGAGCGAAUGGG
rnacentral:rRNA from 1 species